rnacentral:piRNA from 1 species
UCGCUUCGCGGAACAUAAUCUACCUGAA